rnacentral:rRNA from 1 species
CGUGUAGGCGGUUUGUCAAGUCGGGUGUGAAAGCCUGGGGCUCAGCCCCAGAAGUGCAUCCGAAACUAGCGAGCCAGAGCGCGAUAGAGGAGGGUGGAAUUCCUGGUGUAGCGGUGAAAUGCGUAGAUAUCAGGAGGAACACCGGCGGCGAAGGCGGCCCUCUGGAUCGUUGCUGACGCUGAGACGCGAAAGCGUGGGGAGCAAACAGGAUUAGAUACCCUGGUAGUCCACGCCUUAAACGAUGGGUACUAGGUGUUCGGGGUGUUGACCCCCUGAGUGCCGCAGUUAACGCAUUAAGUACCCCGCCUGGGGACUACGGCCGCAAGGUUAAA